AGCCCAGAGUAGACCCCAAAAGAGGAAAGUAAGACAAGAAUGAGGGUCAUCAUGGGAAGAAGGAAGUCUUGGAGAGAAACCUCACUUGACUUUGGCGGCUUCUGGAAGAUGUUGCAGCUCUGAAGGCAUGUUCAGAAUAUCAGGAAAAUGCUUCUCCAGGAUCAUGAUCACUCUCCACUCUAAGCCUCCUGCAACCCUCAGCCCUACCUUCCACUUUGGGCUUUGCCUCAGCCAGCCGCUCCUGGAAUUUCUUCUUGAAGAAGAGGGCUUGCAGUCGCUGCUGGUAGUGGUCGAUCCUGUAGACAAGAGGAGGUCAAUGUCACUCUUCUCCGGGACGAACUUGAGGAGCUGCAAAGAGCAGGCGCAAGUCACACAAGCAACUGGCCCAAAGGAUCCAAAAAACUGAGAGGGAAGAGAUUUGGGGAAGAUAUCACUUUUCCUCAUCUGACUUUGCCUUGGAGUCAGAUGGGAGAACGACUCCUGGAGGACACUUAGCCUUUUCCAGCUUUCCCCAAGAAAGGCUGGCCCAGGGAGGCUUCUAUAAACCUUCUCCCUAACUCUUCCAGCCUGAUUUCUCCUUGACCCAAGAAUCGCAGCCUCUCUGGGGGCUGUUGGGAAGGGGUGUGGCUGCCCGCUGGGUUCAGUU
rnacentral:lncRNA from 1 species